UCCGUUGUAGUCUAGUUGGUUAGGAUAUUUAGCUCUCACCUGAAAGACUUGGGUUCGAUUCCUGGCAAUGAAA
rnacentral:tRNA from 1 species